rnacentral:rRNA from 1 species
AGACGUCUACAUUAGAUACCCGGGUAGUCCCAGCCGUAAACUAUGCGCGUUAGGUGUAUCGGUGACCACGAGUUACCGAGGUGCCGAAGGGAAACCGUGAAACGUGCCGCCUGGGAAGUACGGUCGCAAGGCUGAAACUUAAAGGGAUUGGCGGGGAGCACCACAACAGGUGGAGCCUGCGGUUUAAUUGGACUCAACGCCGGGAAGCUCACCGGAUAGGACAGCAGAAUGAUUGCCGGGCUGAAGACUCUGCAUGACUAGCUG